rnacentral:rRNA from 1 species
AGAAUCAACGCUGGCGGCGUGCCUAACACAUGCAAGUCGAACGAGAAAGUGGAGCAAUCCAUGAGUAAAGUGGCGCACGGGUGAGUAACACGUGACUAACCUACCCUCGAGUGGGGAAUAACCUCGGGAAACCGGGGCUAACACCGCAUAACAUCUACGGAUCAAAUGCGUAAGCAGCUUGAGGAGGGGGUCGCGGCUGAUUAGCUAGUUGGCGGGGUAAUGGCCCACCAAGGCAGUGAUCAGUAGCCGGCCUGAGAGGGCGCACGGCCACACUGGAACUGAAACACGGUCCAGACUCCUACGGGAGGCAGCAGUGGGGAAUUUUGCGCAAUGGGGGAAACCCUGACGCAGCAACGCCGCGUGGAGGAUGAAGCCCCUUGGGGUGUAAACUCCUUUCGAUCGGGACGAUUAUGACGGUACCGGAUGAAGAAGCACCGGCUAACUCUGUGCCAGCAGCCGC